rnacentral:rRNA from 1 species
AAACUUUCAACAACGGAUCUCUUGGCUCUGGCAUCGAUGAAGAACGCAGCGAAAUGCGAUAAGUAAUGUGAAUUGCAGAAUUCAGUGAAUCAUCGAAUCUUUGAACGCACAUUGCGCCCGCCAGCACCCUGGCGGGCAUGCCUGUCCGAGCGUCAUU